GAAACACCUUUUUGAGGCAGGACUUGUUUCAGUGGGGCUCUGGUGCUCACUGAGUCUGCCCCCUGAGUGUAUCUCU
rnacentral:pre_miRNA from 1 species